rnacentral:rRNA from 1 species
UACGGGGGGGGUAAGCGUUGUUCGGAAUUACUGGGCGUAAAGGGCUCGUAGGCGGCCAACUAAGUCAGACGUGAAAUCCCUCAGCUUAACUGGGGAACUGCGUCUGAUACUGGAUGGCUUGGAUUCGGGAGAGGGUAGUGGAAUUCCCGGUGUAGUGGUGAAAUGCGUAGAUAUCGGGAGGAACACCAGUGGCGAAGGCGACUACCUGGCCUGUUCUUGACGCUGAGGCGCGAAAGCUAGGGGAGCAAACGGG